GAUGAAGAACGCAGCGAAAUGCGAUAAGUAGUGUGAAUUGCAGAAUUCCGUGAAUCAUCGAAUCUUUGAACGCACAUUGCGCCUUCUGGUAUUCCGGAAGGCAUGCCUGUUCGAGAGUCAUUAACAACCGUUUCGAUCCCUUUCUUUCAGAAAUUACAAAGAGGAAAAGGGUUUGGUUAUGGUGGAGGAGGGAAAGGGAGCGUUUAGCCUGUAAAAAAAGAGGCUGUGUUCCGCCUCCCCCCCAAAAUUGUACAGGCGGUCGUGUGCGCCCACGCAUCGAGGUGUUGUAAAAGCUGCCACGGCACUUUUCACCUGUGCAGUGCGAGAUUGGCCAGCCGGUUUAAAAACCCCUCCAAACAAUCAAAGGUUGACCUCGGAUCAGGUAGGGAUACCCGCUGAACUUAAGCAUAUCAAUAAGCGGAGCA
rnacentral:misc_RNA from 1 species